rnacentral:rRNA from 1 species
UACGGAGGGUGCAAGCGUUGUCCGGAUUUAUUGGGCUUAAAGGGUGCGUAGGCGGUCUUUUAAGUCAGUGGUGAAAUCCUCCAGCUUAACUGGAGAACUGCCAUUGAUACUGGGAGACUUGAGUACAGACGAGGUAGGCGGAAUUGACAGUGUAGCGGUGAAAUGCAUAGAUAUUGUCAAGAACACCGAUUGCGAAGGCAGCUUACUAGACUGUAACUGACGCUGAGGCACGAAAGUGUGGGGAUCAAACAGG